GACGAACGCUGGCGGCGUGCUUAACACAUGCAAGUCGAACGGAAAGGCCCUGCUUUUGUGGGGUGCUCGAGUGGCGAACGGGUGAGUAACACGUGAGUAACCCGCCCCUGUCUUUGGGAUAACUUCAGGAAACUGGGGCUAAUACCCGAUAGAAGCUCCUGCUCCAUGGUGGGCGUUGGAAAGAUUCGGUGGUUGGGGAUCGGUUCGCUGGUUAUCCGCUUGUUUGUGGGGUAGGGGCUUACCAAGGCUUUGACGGAUAGCCUGCCUGAGAGGGUGAACGGCGCCAUUGGGACUGAGAUACGGCCCAGUCUGCAAGCGGAGGCAACAGGGGAGAAUAUUGCGCAGUAGGCGGAAGCCUGAUGCAGAAAUGCCGCGAGCGGGAUGACGUCUUUCGGGGGGUAAACCGCUUUGGCCUGUGACGAGGAGUGAGUGACGGUAAUGGGUAAAGAAGCACCGGCUAACUACGUG
rnacentral:rRNA from 1 species